rnacentral:rRNA from 1 species
GGAAUCUUGCGCAAUGGGCGAAAGCCUGACGCAGCAACGCCGCGUGCGGGAAGAAGGCUUUAGGGUUGUAAACCGCUUUCAGCAGGGAAGAAAAUGACGGUACCUGCAGAAGAAGGUGCGGCCAACUACGUGCCAGCAGCCGCGGUGACACGUAGGCACCAAGCGUUGUCCGGAUUUAUUGGGCGUAAAGAGCUCGUAGGCGGUUCAGUAAGUCGGGUGUGAAAGCUCUGGGCUUAACCCAGAGCCGCCACCCGAUACUGCUGUGACUUGAGUCCGGUAGGGGAGCGGGGAAUUCCUGGUGUAGCGGUGAAAUGCGCAGAUAUCAGGAGGAACACCGGUGGCGAAGGCGCCGCUCUGGGCCGAGACUGACGCUGAGGAGCGAAAGCAUGGGUAGCAAACAGGAUUAGAUACCCUGGUAGUCCAUGCCGUAAACGUUGGGCACUAGGUGUGGGCAUCAACCAACGAUGUCCGCGCCGUCGCUAACGCAUUAAGUGCCCCGCCUGGGGAGUACGGUCGCAAGACUAAAACUCAAAGGAAUUGACGG